GUGUUCGUGGUGUAACGGCUGGCAUGCGACACUGUGAAUGUCGAGGCGGCGGGUUCGAUUCCCCCCGGACACC
rnacentral:tRNA from 1 species